rnacentral:sRNA from 1 species
AAAGCUGAAACUAAUGUUAGUAUUUAUAUAUUAUUAAAUAGAAAAUCAUAUGUUUAGUAAAUAUUUACCAGGUAAUGCAAGAUUUGUGUUGGCAAAACCAACCAGGUGAGCGUAAUUGUAAACUUUAAAUUUCUCUUUCUCUAUCUUUAGCCAUGAUUCAUAUACCACAAUGAUUUUGGUAUCAAUGUUGACUUUGAUGACAAAAGGGUGGUCCGUGAUUUUGGUGUAUUUGGUGCAUGACCUAACUUCAAACCACAACAGGUGAUUCUGAUGAAGUGGUUUGAUCGGUUUAUGAGUAAAGGAGAUCAAUGUCCAAAUAGCAUUUGAGAAGAGCUUUCGUAAGACAAUUCAUAAUUGAGCCACCACAAAGGCUUUUACAUUUGUAGUUUUUGUCACACAGAAGUUUACAUUGAUUUGUAGUAUAAUAUUCUUUGUACAAGGUUUCAUAUACUUGAUUCUGCAACUACAAACUAAUAAUAAAACAGAGAACUCAACAUGAAUCCACUAACAACAAUUAUAAUACUUUACCAAAUACUACAAAAUACUUGCAGUUACCAACACUACAAAACAGAACUCAAUCAUAAACAAACUCAAUCAUAAACAAAACCAUUGUGAGAAAACUCUACAUCCGAACAAAGAAACAGAUGGUCCACGAGUUCACCGAUGCUCCACCUCGAACCAGGCUCCUUAACCAAACACCUCAUUAGAAAGUCUUGAGCUUCUGCAGAUAACCGAGUCGAGAUUUGAGGAGUGAGAUCACUAUGACCAAUUAAAUCAACCCAAUCAUCAUGAACCAAAUCACCAUGCUCUCCCCAAACCGUUUUCCCUGUUAGCAUCUCCAAAACAGAACAUCCAAACGCCCAAAUGUCAACAGCAAAAUCCACAAGCCCACCGCCUAUUAACUCCGGAGCCAUGUACGUAGAUGAGUGCCCGCGCUACGCACGAGAUUUUGUUGUUGAUUUUCUUAAAAUU